UACAGAGGUCCCAAGCGUUGUUCGGAUUCACUGGGCGUAAAGGGUGCGUAGGCGGUCGGGUGAGUCUGAUGUGAAAUCUCACAGCUUAACUGUGAAACUGCAUUGGAUACUAUCCGGCUCGAGGAAUGGAGGGGAGACUGGAAUACUUGGUGUAGCAGUGAAAUGCGUAGAUAUCAAGUGGAACACCAGUGGCGAAGGCGAGUCUCUGGACAUUUCCUGACGCUGAGGCACGAAGGCCAGGGGAGCAAACGGG
rnacentral:rRNA from 1 species